GUCUAUAUAUUAUGUAUAUAACGUUUUUUCAGUCAAGGGUCUUUUUCAUCGCAAGACUUGUGUCUCACAACUAGUAUGUAUAGAGUGGCAUUGGAACAGAAAAAUGGGAUUGAAACAUCUCUAUUAUUAUCAUGCUAGCCCUUAGAGUCUAGGCCCAUGACAGACCUAUUCUUAUAGACCACCAUCAUCAUAAUAGAGUAUUCAUUAAUGAUCCUUCCGCAGGUUCACCUACGGAAA
rnacentral:misc_RNA from 1 species